AGCGAACGCUGGCGGCAGGCUUAACACAUGCAAGUCGAACGGGCACUUCGGUGUCAGUGGCAGACGGGUGAGUAACACGUGGGAACGUACCUUUUGGUUCGGAACAACUGAGGGAAACUUCAGCUAAUACCGGAUAAGCCCUUACGGGGAAAGAUUUAUCGCCGAAAGAUCGGCCCGCGUCUGAUUAGCUAGUUGGUAGGGUAAUGGCCUACCAAGGCGACGAUCAGUAGCUGGUCUGAGAGGAUGAUCAGCCACAUUGGGACUGAGACACGGCCCAAACUCCUACGGGAGGCAGCAGUGGGGAAUAUUGGACAAUGGGGGCAACCCUGAUCCAGCCAUGCCGCGUGAGUGAUGAAGGCCCUAGGGUUGUAAAGCUCUUUUGUACGGGAAGAUAAUGACGGUACCGUAAGAAUAAGCCCCGGCUAACUUCGUGCCAGCAGCCGCCGCAG
rnacentral:rRNA from 1 species